ACAGGCAUCACAAAUACAAAAUCAUUCAAGAAACACCUAUUUCCUCUCCCUCUCUCUCUCUCUCUCUCACACUCACACACACACACACACACACACACACACACACACACACGCACACAGGCACACUCCAAAAAACAGCAUUACCUGUUCCUGCUACUGCCCGGAUUUCCCUGGAGCAUUUGGUUCCUUGGCUUUAGUCAUGACCUCCUGUCCAGAAUGCCCACCUGUACAGGGGCAGAAUUUUUUAAAAGGAAGAGGGUUUGGUUUGCCUCUUGUGAACCUCUCAGUGUUCAUGUAACACUGAGCAUUGACCCUCACAGGAGCUUGCCCACUGAAUAUAAGAAGUCUUAAAUUUCUGUAUUUACAAAAUCUUCUUCCCACAAGAAAUAAAACUGUAUUUAAGUUCUGGUGAUGAUGAUGAUGAUGAUGAUGAUGAUGAUGAUGAUGAUAAGAUGGUCUCUUUUUCUAAAUUAAAAAAUGGGCUUUGAGGAAAUGACCAAAAAAAUGCAAUUGUCACUAAAUACAGAUCCAAAGUUGUCUUCAUAUGGUCUCUGAAUAGUGGAUGAUGGGAUUGUCACACAAUGCCCCCAAAGAGAUGCUUUCCUUUCCUGAACCCUAGAAGGGUCUUCUGUCUUGGACCAAAUCCUAGAAAGUGAGAGCUAACAACAGUUCUAAAAUAAACCAGGAAAAUCAGCUUAUGCUGUUAAUUUACCAAGCUUGAGCAAACUGCUUUGCAAAUCUACUGGUGUCUCCCAGGAUCUCUCUUAAUGAUCUGCCUGAGGAAAACUAAGCAGUGAUUAAAAGAUAAGAACCAUCAAGAUCUUCUGAGAAGGGAAUUACAAUAUCUACACAAGUAGUAAAACACAGCUUGCUUAUUCCUUUUACUCCCCUUGAGACUCAGAGCCUCUGAAAAUGGUGUGCCUCUUCAGGGCAGGGUCAGCGGCUGCCCACUGCCAUAUGGGACAUCAAUGCCCCCGCCAUCCUCAGCCAGGCAGUUCUGUAAGACCUGCUACUUCUUAGCUGGCAGUCCCACAUGGUCUCAACUCUGCAUCCUUCAUCUUUUCUAGCAGGGAGAAACCGCAGUCUCUAUCUGCCCAGGAUGAGCAGUAGCAAUCUGCUAAUACCUUCAGAAAUACUUAAGGAAAAAAGGAGGAAAAGGGACAUAGGUAUCAACAGAAAAGUCCUUUAAACAUAGCUUAUACAUCUUCUUUCGACUUGUUAGAACCAAAGAAAAUCCCUGUUGGAGGAUCAGAAAAAGCUGGAUUUUGAGGGGAGCCCU
rnacentral:lncRNA from 1 species